CCUACGGGAGGCAGCAGUGGGGAAGUAUUGGACAAUGGGCGCAAGCCUGAUCCAGCCAUGCCGCGUGAGUGAUGAAGGCCUUAGGGUUGUAAAGCUCUUUUGUACGGGAAGAUAAUGACGGUACCGUAAGAAUAAGCCCCGGCUAACUUCGUGCCAGCAGCCGCGGUAAUACGAAGGGGGCUAGCGUUGCUCGGAAUCACUGGGCGUAAAGGGUGCGUAGGCGGGUUUUUAAGUCAGAGGUGAAAUCCUGGAGCUCAACUCCAGAACUGCCUUUGAUACUGAAAGUCUUGAGUAUGGGAGAGGUGAGUGGAACUGCGAGUGUAGAGGUGAAAUUCGUAGAUAUUCGCAAGAACACCAGUGGCGAAGGCGGCUCACUGGCCCAUUACUGACGCUGAGGCACGAAAGCGUGGGGAGCAAACAGGAUUAGAUACCCUGGUAGUCCACGCCGUAAACGAUANANANCACGCGUACGUAGGUUACGUCUACUAGUGCGC
rnacentral:rRNA from 1 species